AGGGGAGAUGCCGAAAACCCGGGAAACAGAGUAGGCA
rnacentral:ncRNA from 1 species